rnacentral:rRNA from 1 species
AGCGGCAGCACAGAGGACUUGUUCCUUGGGUGGCGAGCGGCGGACGGGUGAGUAAUGCCUGGGAAAUUGCCCGGUAGAGGGGGAUAACCAUUGGAAACGAUGGCUAAUACCGCAUAACCUCGCAAGAGCAAAGCAGGGGACCUUCGGGCCUUGCGCUACCGGAUAUGCCCAGGUUGGAUUAGCUAGUUGGUGAGGUAAGGGCUCACCAAGGCGACCAUCCCUAGCUGGGCUGAAAAGAUGAUCAGCCACACUGGAACUGAGACACGGUCCAGACUCCUACGGGAGGCAGCAGUGGGGAAUAUUGCACAAUGGGCGCAAGCCUGAUGCAGCCAUGCCGCGUGUAUGAAGAAGGCCUUCGGGUUGUAAAGUACUUUCAGUAGGGAGGAAGGUGGUUAAGUUAAUACCUUAAUCAUUUGACGUUACCUACAGAAGAAGCACCGGCUAACUCCGUGCCAGCAGCCGCGGUAAUACGGAGGGUGCAAGCGUUAAUCGGAAUUACUGGGCGUAAAGCGCAUGCAGGUGGUUUGUUAAGUCAGAUGUGAAAGCCCUGGGCUCAACCUAGGAAUCGCAUUUGAAACUGACAAGCUAGAGUACUGUAGAGGGGGGUAGAAUUUCAGGUGUAGCGGUGAAUGCGUA